rnacentral:misc_RNA from 1 species
AAAGUCGUAACAAGGUUUCCGUAGGUGAACCUGCGGAAGGAUCAUUACCUGGCCUUGGGCCGCUCGCGGGAGCUAGUCGCUUGCGACGACGCUGCCGAGGGUGCUUAGCCCUUGACUAUCACCUUGACUACGUGCACCUUUUGUCGUUUCCUCGGCAGGUCAUCUGCCGCCAGGAACCCCCUAAACCUUUUUGCAUCAGCAUCCAAACUUCUGAAAAACAAACCAAAUUAUUUACAACUUUUAACAAUGGAUCUCUUGGUUCUG